GAAAUGAAAACUUGCACAGAAUUAUUGGCAAUUCCUUAAUCCUGUUUGCCACCCCUUCUGUGAUUUGCCUCUGAAAGCGGAAGACAUGGACAAUAUGGCGAUUCCAAAAGGGCGGGUACUUCCUGUUUUAAUAGUUUUUGAGAUAUAUGGCUGUUGUAAAAAUUUUCCAACAUUUUCUAAUAACGGAAGGAGCAUACAACGUUCACUACUUUUUAAAAUUGCAGAAAAUACUUUUAAGUGACCUACAGAUGGAAUUUCUUCAAGAGUAGGAAUUAUCAAAUUACAAUAAAUUUUUGGUGAUACAAAAUAUCCUAAAUAUUCUGCUGCUCUUUCUACAUUUUCUACAACUCUAUUAUCUUCAUCAUUACAAGCUCUAGUAAAAAAUUAUAUCUUAGAAAUAUAAUUAUAAUAAUUACUUAUUAAUAAUUAAUUUUUUUAAUAAUGUGUAUAUAUAUAUUAAUUAUAAUAAUUUAGUAUAUAUAUUUACCGAUACAUAGGAGGUAAAAGUUUUCCAAUAUGUUGUAUUACAUCUUCUUCUAUAUUUAAAAUAAAUACACAAAGUAACUGUGCA